UAAUAAUGCAUUGUGUUUCCUUCUGAAUAAAUAUUUAUUCCGAUUUUUUUCUUUUUUUUUUCAAUAAAGAAACAAUUUUUAAUAGUUUUAGUUAACAAUAACAACAUUGCUCCAAAUGUGAUUUAUGUGAUCGAAUCGCAAAAUAUUCUGCACCCCGUUUACACUUGUUUUUAGUGCUGGCCACUUUACCUGUGAUGGGUCUCAGGUGUAAAUGAGGCAAUGGAGCUGUUCCAGCAAACUUCUGCCAGUUCCUCUCUCAUUCUCCUCACCUCCUCUGUGCUCAUUUUUACACUUACAUGAAAUCUAUCCCACACCCUCCCAAGCAGUCCUGGCUCAGAGAGAGAUAACAGUGGAUUUGGUCCCGGCUGGGCCAACGAUUUCCACAUUGAACCUGCUAUUCAUAUCAGAGAAGCUACCUGAACAUCAGGCAAGAGAAAAGGUGUGAAAUAGUGUGACCAAUCUGGAGAGUUCUGGGCAGACAGACAGUGUAAGACUGUCCAGGUGUCUUAUAAUAUGAGGAUUAGAGGUUUGCCAAGGAUUGAGCAGCACAAGCCUGAUAUGAAAAGAGAGAGAGAGAGAGACUUACUGAGGACUUCAGAGAGAUCAGAGGAACUGCCUGUGCUGGCAGAGUGCCACAACCAAGACCAUCAUUUUCAACCCCCAAAUUAGAGAGGUGACCAUCUGACAAUAAAACAGCCUGUGGAGAGGAGAAAAAAAGAGUCAGCCUUCCAUUAUAAAUAUUAAUCAAAUGGAAGCCUUUCAGAGAUGGCAUUUCUCUGCAGGAAAAGAUGUAGUACUUGCCUGUCAGGGCAGCAGUGGAGGUCAGCAUGGCCUUUCCCUUGGCUUGAGUCAAACUUGAUUUAGCUCUUUUUGCUAGUAUACGGUAAAGUUUGAAACCAGAAGAUAUUAAAAUAAAAUCAUAAAUAAACUGAGAGAAAACAACUGAGAAAAGUGCAUUAUCCUUAUGUUGAGAAGGGAAAAUUCUAAUGUUACAUCCUCAUAUUGUUCUUCUGCAGGUCUUUAACCAGUCCAACUCUUGGCAGGUGCAGAACACUAAAGGACCAUUUUAUUUCUAAAUUAGUCUGAAAGGCGCACCACAAAGACUGGAAAUGCUGCUGCCCUUUCAUUUUAAAUGCACUUUUGAUAGGCUGAAAGCAGCUGCACUAAAGCAAGAUAAAGCUGCACCAUCAGGAUGAUGAAGAGUGUGGAUGGAGAGGCGCUGCGCCGAGCACAAAGGCCGCAGAGGAGCGGCGACGGUGGCGUGAGGACAG
ensembl:lncRNA